CAAAUCCAUUCAUAUCUAUCAAGCAACUCUCUCUCUCCUUCAUCCUCACCAAUCGGCCACCUCUCUCUCUCCUUUCUCUCUCAUAAUUCCUCCAUUGUCAACCAUUGGAGAGACCUCCGAAGCUUCACCAAAAUAUGCCAAACACAUAAAUCACCAACAAAAUUCCACCUAAACACCUCCUAUCAACUUGAAUCCAAGGAAAUCCUUGAAGAUUGGCUUCAAGACUAGUGAGAGAAAGUUUGUUUGUUGGUGAAAAACUUGAACACGAGCAGAGCAGGGAAGUAAGUAACUCCGCUUUGACGGGAGUUUUUGAGUAAGGUCUUCAGACUAAGCGAGGAGCGAGAUUGGUCUGGUGCUGGCGGGGAAAUGUUGGAGGAUGUAUUUACUUUAUCGUAUUUCCAUUUUGACGAUAAAGUCUUGAUGAUUGAUAUACUUUAAUUUUCUUUUGAAGUUAAGCAAUGUACUCACGGUUAUAUGUCUUCAUACAUAUAAUCGGUUCGCCUUUUGCUGCGAUACUCUGCAUAUUAUGAUUCCUUACGAAAAAUGAGCGA